rnacentral:rRNA from 1 species
GUGGGGAAUAUUGGACAAUGGGCGAAAGCCUGAUCCAGCCAUGCCGCGUGUGUGAAGAAGGUCUUCGGAUUGUAAAGCACUUUAAGCUGGGAGGAAGGGCAGUAAGUUAAUACCUUGCUGUUUUGACGUUACCGACAGAAUAAGCACCGGCUAACUUCGUGCCAGCAGCCGCGGUAAUACGAAGGGUGCAAGCGUUAAUCGGAAUUACUGGGCGUAAAGCGCGAGUAGGAGGUGAAAUCCCCGGGCUCAACCUGGGAACUGCCUCCAAAACUGCAGGACUAGAGUACGGGAGAGGGUAGUGGAAUUUCCUGUGUAGCGGUGAAAUGCGUAGAUAUAGGAAGGAACACCAGUGGCGAAGGCGACUACCUGGACUGAUACUGACACUGAGGUGCGAAAGCGUGGGGAGCAAACAGGAUUAGAAACCCCAGUAGUCC